rnacentral:rRNA from 1 species
UACGUAGGGUGCAAGCGUUGUCCGGAAUUAUUGGGCGUAAAGAGCUCGUAGGCGGUCUGUCGCGUCGGCUGUGAAAACCCCGGAGCUCAACUCCGGGCCUGCAGUCGAUACGGGCAGACUGGAGUUCGGCAGGGGAGACUGGAAUUCCUGGUGUAGCGGUGAAAUGCGCAGAUAUCAGGAGGAACACCGGUGGCGAAGGCGGGUCUCUGGGGCCGAUACUGACGCUGAGGAGCGAAAGCGUGGGGAGCGAACAGG